rnacentral:rRNA from 1 species
UACGUAGGGUGCGAGCGUUGCCCGGAUUUAUUGGGCGUAAAGGGCGCGUAGGCGGCCACGCACGUCCGUUGUGAAAUCGCCCGGCUCAACUGGGCGGGUCGGCGGAUACGGCGUGGCUGGAGCAAGCUAGGGGGAAUGGAAUCCGGUGUAGUGGUGGAAUGCGUAGAUAUCGGGAGGAACACCAGUGGCGAAGGCGGUUGCCUGGAGCUUUGCGUGACGCUGAGGCGCGAAAGCGUGGGAGCGAGUCCGG